GACGAACGCUGGCGGCGUGCCUAAUACAUGCAAGUAGAACGAGUGGCGGACGGGUGCGUAAUGUCUGGGAAACUGCCUGAGGCAGGGGGAUAACUACUGGAAACGGUAGCUAAUACCGCAUACCAUCGGAUGUGCCCAGAUGGGAUUAGCUAGUAGGUGGGGGAACGGCUCACCUAGGUGACGAUCCCUAGCUGGUCUGAGAGGAUGACAAGCCCCACGGGAACUGAGACACGGUCCAGACUCCUACGGGAGGGAGAAGUGCCGAAUAUGGCACAAUGGGCGCAAGCCUGAUGCAGCAAUGCCGCGUGUAUGAAGAAGGCCUUCGGGUUGUAAAGUACUUUCAGCGGGGAGGCGUUACCCGCCGAAGAAGCAACGGCUAACUCCGGGCCAGCAGCCGCGGUAAUUC
rnacentral:rRNA from 1 species